rnacentral:rRNA from 1 species
UAGGGAAUCUUCGGCAAUGGACGAAAGUCUGACCGAGCAACGCCGCGUGAGUGAAGAAGGUUUUCGGAUCGUAAAACUCUGUUGUUAGAGAAGAACAAGGACGUUAGUAACUGAACGUCCCCUGACGGUAUCUAACCAGAAAGCCACGGCUAACUACGUGCCAGCAGCCGCGGUAAUACGUAGGUGGCAAGCGUUGUCCGGAUUUAUUGGGCGUAAAGCGAGCGCAGGCGGUUUCUUAAGUCUGAUGUGAAAGCCCCCGGCUCAACCGGGGAGGGUCAUUGGAAACUGGGAGACUUGGGUGCAGAAGAGGAGAGUGGAAUUCCAUGUGUAGCGGUGAAAUGCGUAGAUAUAUGGAGGAACACCAGUGGCGAAGGCGGCUCUCUGGUCUGUAACUGCCGCUGAGGCUCGAAAGCGUGGGGAGCAAACAGG